rnacentral:rRNA from 1 species
UACGUAGGGGGCAAGCGUUGUCCGGAUUUAUUGGGCGUAAAGCGCGCGUAGGCGGCGCGGUAUGUCGUGCGUGAAACCUCCCGGCUUAACUGGGAGGGGCCGUGCGAAACUGCCGGGCUUGAGGUCGGAAGGGGAAAGUGGAAUUCCGGGUGUAGUGGUGGAAUACGUAGAUAUCCGGAGGAACACCAGCGGCGAAGGCGGCUUUCUGGUCCGAUACUGACGCUGAGGAGCGAAAGCGUGGGGAGCGAACAGG